UCCUCCAAGGCUAAAUACUCCUGACUGACCGAUAGUGAACCAGUACCGUGAGGGAAAGGCGAAAAGAACCCCGGCGAGGGGAGUGAAAAAGAACCUGAAACCGUGUACGUACAAGCAGUGGGAGCACAGGUUUACCUGUGUGACUGCGUACCUUUUGUAUAAUGGGUCAGCGACUUAUAUUCUGUAGCAAGGUUAACCGAAUAGGGGAGCCGGAGGGAAACCGAGUCUUAAUUGGGCGUUAAGUUGCAGGGUAUAGACCCGAAACCCGGUGAUCUAGCCAUGGGCAGGUUGAAGGUUGGGUAACACUAACUGGAGGACCGAACCGACUAAUGUUGAAAAAUUAGCGGAUGACCUGUGGCU
rnacentral:rRNA from 4 species